rnacentral:rRNA from 1 species
UAGGGAAUCUUCCGCAAUGGACGCAAGUCUGACGGAGCAACGCCGCGUGAGUGAAGAAGGAUUUCGGUUCGUAAAACUCUGUUGUUAGAGAAGAACAGCGCAUAGAGUAACUGUUAUGCGUGUGACGGUAUCUAACCAGAAAGCCACGGCUAACUACGUGCCAGCAGCCGCGGUAAUACGUAGGUGGCAAGCGUUGUCCGGAUUUAUUGGGCGUAAAGCGAGCGCAGGCGGUCAAUUAAGUCUGAUGUGAAAGCCCCCGGCUCAACCGGGGAGGGUCAUUGGAAACUGGUUGGCUUGAGGGCAGAAGAGGGGAGUGGAAUUCCAUGUGUAGCGGUGAAAUGCGUAGAUAUAUGGAGGAACGCCAGUGGCGAAGGCGACUCUCUGGUCUGUAACUGACGCUGAGGCUCGAAAGCGUGGGUAGCAAACAGG